GAUGGAGGUGUGAUAAUGAUGGAGGGGUGGAGGUGUGAUGAUGAUGGAGGUGUGAUGAUGAUGGAGGGAUGAAGGUGUGAUGAUGAUGGAGGUGUGAUGAUGAUGGAGGUGUGAUGAUGAUGGAGGGAUGGAGGUGUGAUGAUGAUGGAGGUGUGAUGAUGAUGGAGGUGUGAUGAUGAUGAAGGUGUGAUGAUGAUGAAGGGGUGAUGAUGAUGGAGGUGUGAUGAUGAUGAAGGGGUGAUGAUGAUGGAGGUGUGAUGAUGAUGGAGGGAUGGAGGUGUGAUGAUGAUGGAGGUGUGAUGAUGAUGAAGGUGUGAUGAUGAUGAAGGGGUGAUGAUGAUGGAGGUGUGAUGAUGAUGGAGGGAUGAAGGUGUGAUGAUGAUGGAGGGAUGGAGGUGUGAUGAUGAUGGAGGUGUGAUGAUGAUGGAGGGGUGAUGAUGAUGGAGGGAUGGAGGUGUGAUGAUGAUGGAGGGGUGAUGAUGAUGGAGGGGUGAUGAUGAUGGAGGUGUGAUGAUGAUGGAGGGGUGAUGAUGAUGGAGGGGUGAUGAUGAUGGAGGUGUGAUGAUGAUGGAGGGGUGAUGAUGAUGGAGGGGUGAUGAUGAUGGAGGGAUGGAGGUGUGAUGAUGAUGGAGGGGUGAUGAUGAUGGAGGGGUGAUGAUGAUGGAGGUGUGAUGAUGAUGGAGGUGUGAUGAUGAUGGAGGGGUGAUGAUGAUGGAGGUGUGAUGAUGAUGGAGGUGUGAUGAUGAUGAUGGAGGGCUCACACACACCUACAUAAACACACAACCUGCAGCACACGUGUUUUCUCAGUGGGUGUGUG